rnacentral:rRNA from 1 species
GAUGGACGCUGACAGAAUGCUUAACACAUGCAAGUCAACUUGAAUUUGGGUUUUUACCUUAGGUUUGGGUGGCGGACGGGUGAGUAACGCGUAAAGAACUUGCCUCACAGCUAGGGACAACAUUUGGAAACGAAUGCUAAUACCUAAUAUUAUGAUAAUAGGGCAUCCUAUAAUUAUGAAAGCUAUAAGCGCUGUGAGAGAGCUUUGCGUCCCAUUAGCUAGUUGGAGAGGUAACGGCUCACCAAGGCGAUGAUGGGUAGCCGGCCUGAGAGGGUGAUCGGCCACAAGGGGACUGAGACACGGCCCUUACUCCUACGGGAGGCAGCAGUGGGGAAUAUUGGACAAUGGACCGAGAGUCUGAUCCAGCAAUUCUGUGUGCACGAUGAAGUUUUUCGGAAUGUAAAGUGCUUUCAGUUGGGAAGAAACAAAUGACGGUACCAACAGAAGAAGUGACGGCUAAAUACGUG